CAGUAGCCACGGUAAUACGGAGGGAGCUAGCGUUGUUCGGAAUCACUGGGCGUAAGGCGCACGUAGGCGGCUAUUCAAGUCAGGGGCGAAAGCCCGGGGCUCAACCCCGGAACUGCCUUUGAAACUAGAUAGCUUGAAUCUUGGAGAGGCGAGUGGAAUUCCGAGUGUAGAGGUGAAAUUCGUAGAUAUUCGGAAGAACACCAGUGGCGAAGGCGACUCGCUGGACAAGUAUUGACGCUGAGGUGCGAGAGCGUGGGGAGCGAACAGGAUUAGAUACCCCUGUAGUCCCUGUCUCUUAUAC
rnacentral:rRNA from 1 species